UGGAUGUUUGGCUAACUGUCAAAACAUUAAAAGAAAGAAAAAAUUUGGGAAUUGUCGACUGAUGCUAGGCUUAAAGUGGCAACUGAUUUGUUUAUUCUAUAGAGAUUAUUUUUUUUCACCAAUCAUUUUGAUAUUUUCAUUUGCUCUGGGUCAUUCACUGUGAAGAAAAAUUCGGAAAUGGUGCAUCCUGCUGCUUUAGCGAUCACAUUCGGUGUUGUUCUAGGUAGUGCUAUCUUUGCUUUGUUCUUUUACCAAAAUACAAGAAACCAAGACAAUCGAUGGAGAUACGAGGAAAGUCCGAGAAGAGAUUUACUAGAAUUCAUGCAACAUCAAUUUGAAACUGACAUCUGUUCAAUUUGUUUAGAUCGUUUCGAUGACGACGAUGUAUUUUUAGAAUGUUGCCAUCGUUUUCAUCGGCGAUGCAUUGCAAUGGCGGAUUUCAUGGCAUUUAAUCGAGGAUGAAAUUAAUGAAAAUUACGCUAAAUUAGUUUUUCUGGCUGCUUUUGCAUUCGGCAUUCAUGUUAUCAGUUGGAUAUUCUCCUUUUGGUUUUACUGUAAAUUUCGGUUCGAUAAACUCGAUUCAAUGGUGCUGCAUGAAAUUUAUGUUAGAGAUUUUACUGAGGAUUGUUUUCUGUAUUAAUUUAUAUUGUUGAUAUUUGUUAUGAACCAUGUUAAUAUUACUGUUCUUUUA